GACGAACGCUGGCGGUGUGCUUAACACAUGCAAGUCGAACGGUAAGGCCCUUUCGGGGGUACACGGAUGUCGAACGGGGGCGUAACACGAGAGUAACCUGCCCUCAUCUCUGGGAUAACAGUCGGAAACGGUAGCUAAUACUGGAAAUGAGCUUGCUUGUCAUCUUGUGGGUUGGAAAGAUUUUUUCUGGUUGGGGAUGGACUCGCGGUGGAUCAGCUAGUUGGUGAGGUAAUGGCUCACUAAGGCAACGACGCGUAGCCGACCUGAGAGGGUGAUCGGCCACACUAGAACGGAGACACGGACCAGACUCCUGCGGGAGGCAGCAGUAGGGAAUCUUCCGCAAUGGGCGAAUGCCUGACGGUGCAACGCCGCGUGAGUGAUGAAGGUCUUCGGAGCGUAAAACUCUGUUAGUAGGUAAGAACAUAUGUGUAAGUAACUGUGCACAUCUUGACGGUACCUAAUCAGAAAGCCACGGCUAACUACGUG
rnacentral:rRNA from 1 species